rnacentral:rRNA from 1 species
UACGUAGGGUGCAAGCGUUAAUCGGAAUUACUGGGCGUAAAGCGUGCGCAGGCGGUUAUGCAAGACAGAUGUGAAAUCCCUCGGCUCAACCAAGGAAGUGCAUCCGAAACUGCUGUGCUUGAGUACGAAAGAGGAUCGCGGAAUUCCCGGUGUAGAGGUGAAAUCCGUAGAUAUCGGGAGGAACACCAGUGGCGAAGGCGGCGAUCUGGGUCGAUACUGACGCUGAGGUGCGAAAGCGUGGGGAGCAAACAGG